UACGGAGGGUGCAAGCAUUAAUCGGAUUUAUUGGGCGUAAAGGGCGCGUAGGCGGGGAUGAAAGUCAGAUGUGAAAUCCCGGGGCUCAACCUCGGAACAGCAUUUGAAACUUCAUCUCUUGAGGGUAGGCGGAGAAAACAGAAUUCCACAAGUAGCGGUGAAAUGCGUAGAUAUGUGGAAGAAUACCGGUGGCGAAGGCGGUUUUCUAGCUUAUUCCUGACGCUGAGGCGCGAAAGCAAGGGGAUCAAACAGG
rnacentral:rRNA from 1 species